rnacentral:rRNA from 1 species
AUUGAACGCUGGCGGCAUGCCUUACACAUGCAAGUCGAACGGCAGCACGGGAGCAAUCCUGGUGGCGAGUGGCGAACGGGUGAGUAAUAUAUCGGAACGUGCCCAGUCGUGGGGGAUAACGCAGCGAAAGCUGUGCUAAUACCGCAUACGAUCUAAGGAUGAAAGCGGGGGAUCGCAAGACCUCGCGCGAUUGGAGCGGCCGAUAGCAGAUUAGCUAGUGGGUGGGGUAAAGGCCCACCAAGGCGACGCUCUGUAGCUGGUCUGAGAGGACGACCAGCCACACUGGAACUGGGACACGGUCCAGACUCCUACGGGAGGCAGCAGUGGGGAAUUUUGGACAAUGGGCGCAAGCCUGAUCCAGCAAUGCCGCGUGCAGGAUGAAGGCCUUCGGGUUGUAAACUGCUUUUGUACGGAACGAAACGGCCCUUUCUAAUACAGGGGGCUAAUGACGGUACCGUAAGAAUAAGCACCGGCUAACUACGUGCCAGCAGCCGCAGUAA